CCUACGGGAGGCAGCAGUGGGGACUAUUGGACAAUGGGGGAAACCCUUAUCCAGCGACGCCGCGUGAGGGAAGAAGGUUUUCUGAUUGUAAACCUCUGUCAGUGGGGACGAUAAUUACGGUACCCACGGAGGAAGCCACGGCUAACUACGUGCCAGCCGCCGCGGUAAUACGUAGGUGGCAAGCGUUGUCCGGAAUUACUGGGUGUAAAGGGAGCGUCGGCGGGAUGUCAAGUCAGAGGUGAAAAUUAUGGGCUCAACUCAUAGACUGCUUUUGAAACUGAUAUUCUUGAGUGAAGUAGAGGCAAGCGGAAGUCCUAGUGUAGCGGUGAAAUGCGUAGAUAGUAGGAGGAACAUCAGUGGCGAAGGCGACUAGCUGGAACAUAACUGACGCUGAGGAGCGAAAGCGUGGGUAGCAAACAGGAUUAGAUACCCUAGUAGUC
rnacentral:rRNA from 1 species